AACAUAUAUGGGGAAAAAAAAAAACGAGAAAAGAAACAAAAAUAGAAAAAAGUGAAGACAACAACACAUGCUGUGGGUGGGUCUCUAUCACUUCAACAGUGUCAGCGAAAUUUCAUUUUUUUCAUCAGUCUAUCU
rnacentral:ribozyme from 14 species